rnacentral:rRNA from 1 species
GAUGAACGCUGGCGGCGUGCCUAAUACAUGCCAGUCGAGCGAACAGACGAGGAGCUUGCUCCUCUGACGUUAGCGGCGGACGGGUGAGUAACACGUGGAUAACCUACCUAUAAGACUGGGAUAACUUCGGGAAACCGGAGCUAAUACCGGAUAAUAUAUUGAACCGCAUGGUUCAAUAGUGAAAGACGGUUUUGCUGUCACUUAUAGAUGGAUCCGCGCCGCAUUAGCUAGUUGGUAAGGUAACGGCUUACCAAGGCAACGAUGCGUAGCCGACCUGAGAGGGUGAUCGGCCACACUGGAACUGAGACACGGUCCAGACCCCAACGGGAGGCAGCAGUAGGGAAUCUUCCGCAAUGGGCGAAAGCCUGACGGAGCAACGCCGCGUGAGUGAUGAAGGUCUUCGGAUCGUAAAACUCUGUUAUUAGGGAAGAACAAAUGUGUAAGUAACUAUGCACGUCUUGACGGUACCUAAUCAGAAAGCCACGGCUAACUACGUG